rnacentral:rRNA from 1 species
UACAUGUGGGGCAAGCGUUGUUCGGAAUUACUGGGCAUAAAGGGUGCGUAGGCGGCUUGUUAAGUCACUGGUGAAAGUUUUCGGCCCAACCGGAAAAUUGCCUGUGAUACUGGUGAGCUUGAGUGCGUGAGGGGUGGGGGAACGGAGCAGUGUAGCGGUGAAAUGCGUAGAUAUUGCUCGGAAGGCCGGAGCCGAAGGGGCCCCACUGGUACGCAACUGACGCUGAGGCACGAAAGCGUGGGGAGCAAACAGG